ensembl:lncRNA
UAUUAACCAUCACAAACCGAUGCUGGCACUAAGACUGCACUCAAUGAGCUGUAUUCCACCAUAAGCAAACAGGAAAACGUUCAUCCAAAGGUGCCGCUCCUAGUGGCCGGGGACUUUAAUGCAGGGAAACUUAAAUCCGUUUCACCAAAUUUCUAUCAGCAUGUUAAAUGUGCAACCAGAGGAAAAAAAAAAAAAAACUCUAGACCACCUUUACUCCGCACACAGAAACAAAUACAAAGCUCUCCCUCACUCUCCAUUUGGCAAAUCGGACCAUAAUUCUACCUCCUGAUUCCUGCUUACAAGAAAAAAUUAAAGCAGGAAGCACCAGUGACUCGGUCAAUAAAAAAAGUGGUCAGAUGAAGCAGAUGCUAAUCUACAGGACUGUUUGCUAGCACAGACUGGAAUAUGUUCCAGGAUUCUUCCAAUGGCAUUGAGGAGCACACCACAUCAGUCACAGGCUUCAUAAAUAAGUGCCUUGAUGACGUCGUCCCCACAGUGACCAUACGUACAUACCCCAACCAGAAGCCAUGGAUUACAGGCAACAUCCGCACUGAGCUAAAGGCUAGCACUGCCGCUUUCAAGGAACGGGACUCUAACCCAGAAGCUUAUAAGAAAUCCCGCUAUGCCCUCCGACGAACCAUCAAACAGGCACAGCGUCAACAAAGGAUCGAAUCAUGCUACAUAAGCUUCGACGCUAGUCAGAUGUGGCAGGGCUUGCAAACUAUUACAGACUACAAAGGGAAGCACAGCCGAGAGCUGCCCAGUGACAUGAGCCGGAUGAGCUAAACUACUUCCAUGCUCGCUUCGAGGCAAAUAACACUGAAACAUGCAUGAGAGCAACAGCUGUUCCGGACGACUGUGUGAUCACGCUCUCCACAGCCGAAGUGAGUAAGACCUUUAAAAUAGGCCAACAUUCACAAGGCCGCAGGGCCAGACAGAUUACCAGGAUGUGUACUGCGAGCAUGCGCUGACCAACUGGCAAGUGUCUUCACUGACAUUUUCAACCUCUCCCUGUCUGUAAUACCAACAUGUUUCAAGCAGACCACCAUAUCAAAUCAAAUCAAAUUUAUUUAUAUAGCCCUUCGUACAUCAGCUGAUAUCUCAAAGUGCUGUACAGAAACCCAGCCUAAAACCCCAAACAGCAAGCAAUGCAGUUGUAGAAGCACGGUGGCUAGGAAAAACUCCCUAGAAAGGCCAAAACCUAGGAAGAAACCUAGAGAGGAACCAGGCUAUGUGGGGUGGCCAGUC